AUGGCCAGUGAAGUAUUCCGUGUACAGCUGUCCUGGUCACCGAACACUUUACUUAGUACUGUUGAUGGUAGCCUCUCAGAUCAUGAAAUUAGUAGGCCCUCAACCUUAUAUGUGCUUUGGAUGUCAGGUGUUCAAAUAGAGGAAUUAAUUGCAUCCAGUGUUGAAUCUUCAACUGACCAACUGGCUGCUACUCAGGACUUAGGAAGCAUCCCAAGUCCCCUCCAUUCCAGUGAUCAGGAUGUUGGCUUCUCCCCCUGCCCUGUUCCAGCUUUCUCACCACCAAUUGACAAUUCUUCACCCUCGUCACCGCCAUGUGAAGUUUAUGCAUUAGAUUCUGAAGAUGAGGAGGAUGUGGUGAUGUUGACCUCACCUGUUUAUUCUGACAAUGAAAUUGAUGAUGACGUUUCUGCUGCUGACAUCAUCAGAACAUUUCAGAGGGAAAAUCUAAAUUUGGAAGAAAGGGUGAUUGUAGUGGCCAGAAGGAGGAAAAUUCUUCAUAGUGCAUGUACUGCACUGAAAACUAGCUACUUUGCAUGGCACAAAUCCCCACAAAUUGAAUUUGUAGGUGAAAGUGCUGAUGACUAUGGGGGACCUAGCAGAGAAUUUUUCAGGCUUCUGAUGCAGGGUGUGCAGUCAUCAUUCGGAGUUUUUGAGGGGAAAACAGGCCAGAUGUUUUUCACGUAUGACCAAGUGGCUGUGGAAAAAAAGCGUUAUUACACAGCAGGAAAGCUCAUUUCUUGGUCUCUAAUGCACGGUGGACCUAGUUUCAAUGCACUAAAUACCACAUUGUACAAAUUAAUGUGUGGCAAGGCAGAUUCUGCCGAAGAAUAG
rnacentral:lncRNA from 1 species